rnacentral:lncRNA from 1 species
GACCCCAUUGGGAACCCCCUGGAAGUCCCAAUUGAGAACCCAUUGGAAGUGGCCCCAAACCCACUGUGGCCCCAUCCGCUUCCCACCAGACCCCCAUCUGGGCCCACAACCCCAAUUCCGUGUGUGGGUUCGGGGUCUCAGAGCAUUUGGGGGCAACUCUGAGAGCAUUGGGGGUUUUGGGGGGGGGGAAGUUCCUCCUGUGUGGAGGUGGAGUGGGGGGACACCCAGGGGGGGGGAGUCACUGAAACAGAGGGGGGAAGUCCUUGAAAAUAAGGGGGAGAUCCUAAAUAGUGAAUGGGGUCCUGAGGAGGGAAGGGGAGAAGCCCUAAAAUCGGGUGGAAGCCCCCAGAAAUAGAGGGGAGGCUUCUGGAAGAGUGCCCCAAAAUGGGGGGGGGCAAAAGAGGGGCGGCUCAGCUGCAGAAGGAGGGCCUCCCCACAGGGGGGUCAGGGGGGGGACCCCCAUUGCGAUGCUCGUUAGCGGGGCUGUGGGUUGGGGGCAGCUCUGUCAUGGGGACGGCCCUGAGCACCCCAAGGACCCCAUGGGGCAUCGUGUCCCCACUGUCCCCAUAGGGCAGUGCAUCCCCAAUGUCCCCAUAGGGCACCAUGUCCCCAAGGACCCCAUAGGGCACCAUGUUCCCAGUGUCCCCAUAGGGCAUCGUGUCCCCAAUGUCCCCAUAGGGCACCGCAACCCCAAGGACCCCAUGGGGCAUCGUGUCCCCACUGUCCCCAUAGGGCAGUGCAUCCCCAAUGUCCCCAUAGGGAACCACGUCCCCCAAGGACCCCAUAGGGCAUCGUGUCCCCAAGGACCCCAUAGAGCACCAUGUUCCCAGUGUCCCCAUAGGGCAUCGUGUCCCCAAUGUCCACAUAGGGAACCACGUCCCCCAAGGACCCCAUAGGGCACUGUGUGCCUAAUGUCCCCAUAGGGCAUCGUGUCCCCAAAAUUCCCAUAGGGCACCACAUCCCCAAGGACCCCAUAGGGCACCGUGUUUCCAGUGUCCCCAUAGGGCAUCGUGUCCCCAAUGUCUCCAUAGGGCACCACGUCCCCAAUGUCUCCAUAGGACACCAUGUCCCCAAGGACCCCAUAGGGCAUCGCGUCCCCAAAAUCCCCAUAGGGCACCGCAACCCCAAGGACCCCAUAGGGCACUGUGUCCCUAAUGUCCCCAUAGGGCACCAUGUCCCCAAGGACCCCAUAGGGCACUGUGUCCCUAAUGUCCCCAUAAGGCACCGCAUCCCUAAGGACCCCACAGGCACCAUGUCCCCAAUGUCCCCAUAGGGCACUGUGUCCCUAAUGUCCCCAUAGGGCACCACGUUCCCAAUGGGCAUCGUGUCCUCAUAGGGCAUUGUGUCCCCAAAAUUCCCAUAGGGCACCACAUCCCCAAGGACCCCAUAGGGCACCGUGUUCCCAGUGUCCCCAUAGGGCAUUGUGUCCCCAAUGUCCCCAUAGGGCACCGCAACCCCAAGGACCCCAUAGGGCACCGUGUUCCCAGUGUCCCCAUAGGGCACUGUGUCCCUAAUGUCCCCACAGGGUACAACGUCCCCAAUGUCCCCAUAGGGCAUCGUGUCCCCAAUGUCCCCAUAGGGCACCGCAUCCCCAAUGUCCCCAUAGGGAACCACGUCCCCAAUGUCCCCACAGGGCACCCAUCCCCCAAGGACCCCACACCUCCCAGUGCCCCCCAAGGACCCCA